rnacentral:rRNA from 1 species
GAUUUCUGGUUCGGCGCACUUGGCCCGUCUCGGUUUACGGGACUGCGUGCCGGUGUGCGCCAUCCAUCCUUCGAGUGAACGCUUCUACCCUUCACUGGGUUGGGAGUGCUGAUCUCGAUCUUUUACUUUGAAAAAAUUAGAGUGUUUAAAGCAGGCUUGCGCUAUGAAUACAUUAGCAUGGAAUAAUAAUUUAGGACUUUGGUCUUAUUUUGUUGGUUUCUAGGACUAAAGUAAUGAUUGAUAGGGACAGUUGGGGGUGCUAGUAUUCAGCGGCCAGAGGUGAAAUUCUUGGAUUCGCUGAAGACUAACUUAUGCGAAAGCAUU